AGCAUCAUGCAUAUACGUUAGUGGAUGAAUGGAUAAAGAAGAUGCACAGACAAAUAUUACUCAACCUUUUGAAAGAGGGAAAUCCUGUAAUGUUGACAAUGAUAAACCUGGAAGAUCAGAUCAAAUUUCUUUUUCCAACAAGCAGGAUGUGAGUCAUAGACACAGGAGCAUAAAAUUGAUGAGAAAGCAAUGUGUGAGAGAGACAAAGCUGAAGCAGAUUCAAUGGGAGAUCAACUCACUAUACAGAGUCUGACAAGUCUCUUCCACACAGGUUCACCUCCAGAAAAAAGAAAGAAAGAAAGAAAGAAAGA